rnacentral:rRNA from 1 species
CCUACGGGAGGCAGCAGUGAGGAAUAUUGGUCAAUGCACGCAAGUCUGAACCAGCCAUGCCGCGUGCAGGAAGACGGCUCUAUGAGUUGUAAACUGCUUUUGUACGAGGGUAAACGCAGAUACGCGUAUCUGUCUGAAAGUAUCGUACGAAUAAGGAUCGGCUAACUCCGUGCCAGCAGCCGCGGUAAUACGGAGGAUUCAAGCGUUAUCCGGAUUUAUUGGGUUUAAAGGGUACGUAGUCGGUCGGAUAAGUUAGUGGUGAAAUCCCGAGGCUCAACUUCGGAAUUGCUUCUGAUACUGUUCGACUAGAGAGUAGUAGCGGUAGGCGGAAUGUAUGGUGUAGCGGUGAAAUGCUUAGAGAUCAUACAGAACACCGAUUGCGAAGGCAGCUUACCAAGCUACUUCUGACGUUGAGGCACGAAAGCGUGGGGAGCAAACAGGAUUAGAUACCCUAGUAGUC